rnacentral:rRNA from 1 species
UACGUAGGUGGCAAGCGUUGUCCGGAUUUAUUGGGUUUAAAGGGUGCGUAGGCGGCCUUAUAAGUCAGUGCUGAAAUAUCCCGGCUUAACCGGGAGGUGGCAUUGAUACUGUAGGGCUUGAGUGUAGUCGAGGUAGGCGGAAUUGACGGUGUAGCGGUGAAAUGCUUAGAUAUCGUCAAGAACACCGAUAGUGUAGACAGCUUACUAGGCUACAACUGACGCUGAGGCACGAAAGUGUGGGGAUCAAACAGG